rnacentral:rRNA from 1 species
GACGAACGCUGGCGGCGUGCUUAACACAUGCAAGUCACGGGGGUCUCGCAAGAGAGAACCGGCGAACGGGUGCGUAACACGUGAACAACCUGCCGUUGUGCGGGGGAUAGCCGGGCUAACGCCCGGGUAAUACCGCAUACGCUGCUCGAGGGGAGUCCCUUGGGGAGGAAAGCCAUGGCGCAAGCGAUGGCGCACGACGAGGGGUUCGCGGCCUAUCAGCUA